rnacentral:lncRNA from 10 species
CGGGCAUGGUGGCGGGCACCUGUGGUCCCAGCUACUCGGGAGGCUGAGGCAGGAGAAUGGCGUGAACCCGGGAGGCGGAGCUUGCAGUGAGCCGAGAUCAUGCCACUGCACUCCAGCCUGGGCGACACAGCAAGACUCCGUCUCAAAAAAGAAAAAAAAAGGAACCCUACAAGAAACAAGAAACCGUGGGUGCAUUCUUGCAGUGUGGGAGGGGAAGGCAUUCCCAAUGAAUAAAGGACAUCAGGCAACAAUUAAAGAGAAGACUGAUACACUGAACUCCAUAUAUUGGAAAACAAAAAACUUUAGCUUGGCAAAAAAAAUCAUAAACAAACUGAGGGAAAAUGUUUGCACCACCACAAAAGAGCGAAUAUGCCAGUCGUAGGAAGAUCUAAGAGUCUGGAAAAAGCAAGGUCAAAAAUACACGAGAAAGUGCAGGAGACAUAACCCAACAGCUCAGAGAAAAUGUGUGUGCGUGAGCCUGUGUGUGCACGUGUCUACACGUGUGUAGACAUAUGUGUGCAUACAAAUGUGUGUAUGUACAUACACAGGGGUAUGUGUGUGGGUGUGUGUGUACAGGUGUGCGGACGUGUGUAUCUACAAUAUAUGUAUAUACGGCAGUGCCUGCGUGCAUACCCAUAUCCCUUAAACAAUGAAAGGUUGUUCAGGUUCUCUCAACAAAAAUACAAGUUGAAACUACAUCCACCAGGCUGACAGAGCUCUGACAACGGUGCGGCUGUUGGCGAGGCAGCAGGGAGCAGGGAGGAGGCUCAGGGCUCCCCACAGAGGGUCAGGU